rnacentral:rRNA from 1 species
UGGGGAAUUUUGGACAAUGGGCGAAAGCCUGAUCCAGCAAUGCCGCGUGUGUGAAGAAGGCCUUCGGGUUGUAAAGCACUUUUGUCCGGAAAGAAAUCCUUGGCUCUAAUACAGUCGGGGGAUGACGGUACCGGAAGAAUAAGCACCGGCUAACUACGUGCCAGCAGCCGCGGUAAUACGUAGGGUGCAAGCGUUAAUCGGAAUUACUGGGCGUAAAGCGUGCGCAGGCGGUUUGCUAAGACCGAUGUGAAAUCCCCGGGCUCAACCUGGGAACUGCAUUGGUGACUGGCAGGCUAGAGUAUGGCAGAGGGGGUAGAAUUCCAUGUGUGAGCAGUGAAAUGCGUAGAGAUGUGAGGAAUACCGAUGGCGAAGGCAGCCCCUGGGCCAAUACUGACGCUCAUGNCAGACGAAGCGUGGGGCAGCAAAACAGGAUUAGAUACCCUGGUAGUCCCACGCCCUAAAGCGAUGUCAACUAGUUGUUGGGGAUUCAUUUCCUUAGUAACGUAGCUAACGCGUGAAGUUGACCGCCUGGGGAGUACGGUCGCAAGAUUAAAACUUAAA